rnacentral:SRP_RNA from 1 species
ACGCUAGGUGGGGAAUUAGCGGUGCCCUGUACUCGCAAUCCGCUGUAGCGAGACGGAAUCCCUUCCCGAGGUUAGUUAACGUAUGGUCUGACUUAAGCAAGUGGUGUUGACGAGCGGGUCCUGCGCAACGGAUGUUUAUGAACCCUGUCAGGUCCGGAAGGAAGCAGCAGUAAGUAGGCCUCUCCGUGUGACGCGGGGGUGCCUGCUCUGAGCUAACUACUUGAGUAACGCGUAUGAAGGCUAUAUCGACGGAAGGUGCGUG